rnacentral:ncRNA from 1 species
UUGGUCCCAAACCUGUUAUUACCUGUAACCCUGAUUAUACAUGCAAGCCUCAACAUGACAGUGAGUAAUGCCCAACACACUUGGAGCAGGCAUCAGGCCAAAAUACACUACCAAUAACGCCAAGCAUCAAGCCACACCCACACGGGCCAGCAGCAGUAGUUAACAUUGGGCCAUAAGCGAAAGCUUGACCCAGCAAGAGUCACACAGAGCCGGUUAAUUUCGUGCCAGCGACCGCGGUUACACGACAGGCUCAAGAUAAUAUAAACGGCGUAAAACACGACUAGAUAUAAAAACCGACAUUAAGGACGAAACAAAGCUAGGCCGUAAAACACCAGAAGCCAAAAAAAGCACAAACCCUUAAAACAAUAACUCAACUCGUGAAAAUCAGGACACAAACUAGGAUUAAGAUACCCUACUAUGCCUAAUAGUAACACGGCAAUUAACAUUACAUAAUUGCUCGCCAAACAACUACGAGUGAAAACUUAAAACUUAAAAGACUUGACGGUACUUCACCCAACCUAGAGGAGCCUGUCUAAUAACCGAUAAUCCACGAUUAACCCAACCGGUUCUGGCCACCCAGCCUAUAUACCGCCGUCGCCAGCCUACCUUGUGAAAGAAACCAAGUGGGCUAAACAGUAAUACACUAACACGACAGGUCGAGGUGUAGCUUAUGAAACGGACAGAGAUGGGCUACAUUUUCUAACAUAGACAAAACGAAUAAAGUUAUGAAACUAACCCAAAAGGCGGAUUUAGCAGUAAGCUAAGAACAUAAUACCUAGCUGAAACCAAUGCAAUGAAGUGCGU